AUUGAACGCUGGCGGCAGGCCUAACACAUGCAAGUCGAACGAGUGGCGGACGGGUGAGUAAUUUCUGGGAAACUGCCUGAUGGAGGGGGAUAACUCCUGGAAACGGUAGCUAAUACCGCAUACCCUCGGAUGUGCCCAGAUGGGAUUGGCUAGUAGGUGGGGUAACGGCUCACCAAGGCGACGAUCCCUAGCUGGUCUGAGAGGAGGACCAGCCACACGGGAACUGAGACACGGCCCAGACUCCUACGUGAGGCAGCAGUGGGGAAUAGUGCACAAUGGGCGAAAGCCUGAGGCAGCCAUGCCGCGUGUGUGAAGAAGGCCUUCGGGUUGUAAAGCACUUUCAUCGGGGAGGCGUUACCCACAGAAGAAGCACCGGCUAACUCCGUGCCAGCAGCCGCGGUAAUAC
rnacentral:rRNA from 1 species